AAGACCUUGCGCUUUUGGAGCGGCCGAUGCCUGAUUAGCUAGUUGGUGAGGUGAUGGCUCACCAAGGCGUCGAUCAGUAGUUGGUCUGAGAGGACGACCAGCCACACUGGGACUGAGACACGGCCCAGACUCCUACGGGAGGCAGCAGUGGGGAAUUUUGGACAAUGGGCGCAAGCCUGAUCCAGCCAUGCCGCGUGAGUGAAGAAGGCCUUCGGGUUGUAAAGCUCUUUCAGCCGGGAAGAAAAGGUUGCGACUAAUAAUCGCAAUCCAUGACGGUACCGAAAGAAGAAGCACCGGCUAACUACGUGCCAGCAGCCGCGGUAAUACGUAGGGUGCGAGCGUUAAUCGGAAUUACUGGGCGUAAAGCGUGCGCAGGUGGUUUUGUAAGUCAGAUGUGAAAGCCCCGGGCUCAACCUGGGAACU
rnacentral:rRNA from 1 species